ACGCAGCAGGCGAGAAUUUUUCUCAAUGGGCGAAAGCCUGAAGGAGCGACGCCGCGUGGGGGGAUGAAUGGCUUCGGCCCGUAAACCCCUGUCAUUUGUGAACAAAUUGCUUCACCUAACACGUGAAGCAUUGAUUGUAACGGAAGAGGAAGGGACGGCUAACUCUGUGCCAGCAGCCGCGGUAAUACAGAGGUCCCAAGCGUUGUUCGGAUUCACUAGGCGUAAAGGGUGCGUAGGCGGUUUGAUAAGUCUGAUGUGAAAUCCCGCAGCUUAACUGCGGAACUGCAUUGGAAACUGUUUGACUAGAGGAAUGGAGGGGAGACUGGAAUACUUGGUGUAGCAGUGAAAUGCGUAGAUAUCAAGUGGAAUACCAGUGGCGAAGGCGAGUCUCUGGACAUUUCCUGACGCUGAGGUACGAAAGCCAGGGGAGCAAACGGGAUUAGAUACCCGUGUAGU
rnacentral:rRNA from 1 species